GGUUAAAAAGCUCGUAGUUGGAUUUCGGUUAAGAGCGACCGGUCCGCCGUUUGGUGUGCACUGGUUGGUUUUAACUUCCUGUAGAGGACGUGCUCUGGGCUUAACGGUCUGGACUCGGAGUCUACGUGGUUACUUUGAAAAAAUUAGAGUGUUCAAAGCGGGCUUACGCUUGAAUAUUUCAGCAUGGAAUAACACUAUAAGACUCCUGUCCUAUUUCGUUGGUCUCGGGACGGGAGUAAUGAUUAAGAGGAACAGUUGGGGGCAUUCGUAUUUCAUUGCCAGAGGUGAAAUUCUUGGAUUUAUGAAAGACGAACUUCUGCGAAAGCAUUUGCCAAGGAUGUUUUCAUUAAUCAAGAACGAAAGUUGGGGGCUCGAAGAUGAUUAGAUACCAUCCUAGUCUCAACCAUAAACGAUGCCGACUAGGGAUUGGCGGAUGUUAAUUGAUGACUCCGCCAGCACCUUAUGAGAAAUCAAAGUUUUUGGGUUCCGGGGGGAGUAUGGUCGCAAGGCUGUAACUUAAAGGAAUUGACGGAAGGGCACCACCAGGCGUGGAGCCUGCGGCUUAAUUUGACUCAACACGGGAAACCUUACCAGGUCCAGACAUAGUAAGGAUUGACAGAUUGAGAGCUCUUUCU
rnacentral:rRNA from 1 species